rnacentral:lncRNA from 1 species
GGAUCAGUUGAUUAAUCAUUUUCUUGUCAUGGUGGGAGUGAGAAACUCUUAAGAAAAACUCAUUUGUACUUCUCUUUUUGUCAAUACAAUCGUUGGAAUUCUCUUAAUUUGAUCUUUUUUACAAGUUUGAUACUGUAAAGUGUAUCAAAAUGAUGGCUACCACAUUCGAAACUUUUAUCUUCAGGUUCUAGAAGAUGAGGUGACUACGUUAAAAAAUGACAUCGAUAAUAUGGUAAAAAUAGCAAUCGAGCUGCAAUUCAAAAUUGAACAAGUGUGAGAGAUUGCAAUAUUGAAGAAAUUAGUGAAGGGUUCUCUUUAAAACCUAUGUAUGUUCGCUUGAAAUUUUAUCUUACUCUUGUAUGUGUAUAGCUUUGUGUGAACUUAUCUAUGUUAUUUUCGUUAAUAAACUCUUAUGAACUUUUAUAUGUUAAGAUUUGCAGAGUUUUACCUAGUAAUAUCAGUAGUACAAAUUCAAAUAAGAAACAACAUCAAAAUAAUACUUAGUUAUAUUAGUAAAACAACAUAGUUUUGCUUAGUAAUACUACUAGUAUGAAUACAAAUAAGAAAUAACAAACAACUUAACUUACCUAGAGUACUAGUACAAAUCUGGAAUAGAUCAAAAACUUCGAUUUAAGAAGAAGAAAAAAAAUAAAAAAUUAUCGGUGAAAGAAAAAGAAACUUAUAGAAACAAUCUGGAGUAGAUCGGAAACUAAGAAAGAGAGGUGGAGCUAUACUCAAAUCCUGACUAACUGGACGAUUAUUAAAAUCAGUCCCAAUAAAAAACACAUAAGAACAUUGUUGGGGUCGAAAACGGUUACGACAAAGUUAACGUCUAAAUUUCCGCAAUAUACAAGUAUGUGUCUCCGCAACAUAUUUUUUUCGAGAUGAAGUUUCAUUCGAAUUCCAUUUAGAUCAAACAUAAGCCAUCGGAAACAUACCCAAACCAAUUACGGAUGGGUUCGAAUAUGACAAUCGGAACACGGACAAACCAGCUCGGUCAUUGCGCAACUACCGCAUAUGCACGCUAUCCGGUCGCUACGUAGCGACCUAGUUCUUCUAAAACGUCGAUUCGACACCAGUCCAU